UAAUACGAAGGGAGCUAGCGUUGUUCGGAAUUACUGGGCGUAAAGGGCGCGUAGGCGGCUUCGAUAGUUGGGCGUGAAAUGCCUGGGCUUAACCCAGGAAUUGCGCUCAAUACUGUGAGGCUUGAGUGUGGGAGAGGAUAGUGGAAUUCCCAGUGUAGAGGUGAAAUUCGUAGAUAUUGGGAAGAACACCAGCGGCGAAGGCGGCUAUCUGGACCACAACUGACGCUGAGGCGCGAAAGCGUGGGGAGCAAACAGG
rnacentral:rRNA from 1 species